AAAAGGGACAAAACCUGGUUUCUGUGUCUAACGUUUGACCGUCCGUCUUAUUUAAAAAAAUAUGAAAAAAAUUAAAAAGACAAGUUACGUAUAAAAUAUUAAUCAUAUUUUAUCAUCUAACAACAAUGAAAAUACGAAUUAUAAAAAAUUUCAUAUAAGACGGACAGUUAAAGUUGGACACGGAAAUCCAGGUUUUGUCUUUUU
rfam:Oryza glumipatula chromosome 2, whole genome shotgun sequence.